rnacentral:rRNA from 1 species
GCGACAAGGUGUCGCGCGGGGGCGGGAUUACGUGGGGUGGAAGUGUUAAUAUGGAUUACUGGGCGUAAAUCUGGCGCAGGCUGUUCCAUAAUACAGAGGUGAAAGCCCCGGGGUGAACCUGGGAACUGCAUUUGGUACUGUGGAGCUAGAGUACGGUAGAGGGGGAUGGAAUUCCGCGUGUAGCAGUGAAAAGCGUAGAUAUGCGGAGGAACACCAAUGGCGAAGGCAAUCCCCUGGACCUGUACUGACGCUCAUGCACGAAAGCGUGGGGAGCAAACAGGAUUAGAUACCCUGGUAGUC